CGGACACACUGGAACUGAAACACGGUCCAGACUCCUACGGGAGGCAGCAGUGGGGAAUUUUGCGCAAUGGGGGAAACCCUGACGCAGCAACGCCGCGUGGAGGAUGAAGUAUCUUGGUACGUAAACUCCUUUCGAUUGGGAAGAUAAUGACGGUACCAAUAGAAGAAGCCCCGGCUAACUUCGUGCCAGCAGCCGCGGUAAUACGAGGGGGGCAAGCGUUGUUCGGAUUUAUUGGGCGUAAAGGGUGCGUAGGCGGUUUGGCAAGUCUUAUGUGAAAUCUUCGGGCUCAACCCGAAGCCUGCAUAAGAAACUGCCGGGCUUGAGUAUGGGAGAGGUGAGUGGAAUUUCCGGUGUAGCGGUGAAAUGCGUAGAUAUCGGAAGGAACACCUGUGGCGAAAGCGGCUCACUGGACCAUAACUGACGCUGAGGCACGAAAGCUAGGGGAGCAAACAGGAUUAGAUACCCUGGUAGUCCUAGCCCUAAACGAUGAUUGCUUGAUGUGGCAGGUACCCAAUCCUGCCGUGUCGAAGCUAACGCGAUAAGCAAUCCGCCUGGGGAGU
rnacentral:rRNA from 1 species